GUGGGGAAUAUUGGACAAUGGGCGAAAGCCUGAUCCAGCCAUGCCGCGUGUGUGAAGAAGGUCUUCGGAUUGUAAAGCACUUUAAGUUGGGAGGAAGGGCAGUAAGUUAAUACCUUGCUGUUUUGACGUUACCGACAGAAUAAGCACCGGCUAACUUCGUGCCAGCAGCCGCGGUAAUACGAAGGGUGCAAGCGUUAAUCGGAAUUACUGGGCGUAAAGCGCGCGUAGGUGGUUUUGUAAGUUGGAGGUGAAAUCCCCGGGCUCAACCUGGGAACUGACUCCAAAACUGCAUGACUAGAGUACGGUAGAAGGUAGUGGAAUUUCCUGUGUAGCGGUGAAAUGCGUAGAUAUAGGAAGGAAAACCAGUGGCGAAGGCGACUACCUGGACUGAUACUGACACUGAGGUGCGAAAGCGUGGGGAGCAAACAGGAUUAGAAACCCUGGUAGUCC
rnacentral:rRNA from 1 species